rnacentral:rRNA from 1 species
UGAGUGGCGAACGGGUGAGUAACACGUGGGCAACCUGCCCAAAAGAGGGGGAUAACACUUGGAAACAGGUGCUAAUACCGCAUAACCAUAGUUACCGCAUGGUAACUAUGUAAAAGGUGGCUAUACUACCGCUUUUGGAUGGGCCCGCGGCGCAUUAGCUAGUUGGUAGGGUAAAGGCUUACCAAGGCAAUGAUGCGUAGCCGAAUUGAGAGGUUGAUCGGCCACAUUGGGACUGAGACACGGCCCAAACUCCUACGGGAGGCAGCAGUAGGGAAUCUUCCACAAUGGGCGAAAGCCUGAUGGAGCAACGCCGCGUGGGUGAAGAAGGUCUUCGGAUCGUAAAACCCUGUUGUUAGAGAAGAAAGUGCGUGAGAGUAACUGUUCACGUUUCGACGGUAUCUAACCAGAAAGCCACGGCUAACUACGUGCCAGCAGCCGCGGUAAUACGUAGGUGGCAAGCGUUAUCCGGAUUUAUUGGGCGUAAAGGGAACGCAGGCGGUCCUUUAAGUCUGAUGUGAAAGCCUUCGGCUUAACCGGAGUAGUGCAUUGGAAACUGGGAGACUUGAGUGCAGAAGAGGAGAGUGGAACUCCAUGUGUAGCGGUGAAAUGCGUAGAUAUAUGGAAGAACACCAGUGGCGAAAGCGGCUCUCUGGUCUGUAACUGACGCUGAGGUUCGAAAGCGUGGGUAGCAAACAGGAUUAGAUACCCUGGUAGUCCACGCCGCAAACGAUGAAUGCUAAGUGUUGGAGGGUUUCCGCCCUUCAGUGCUGCAGCUA